rnacentral:lncRNA from 1 species
ACAAAAAAUUCACUAUGAAGUUUAAAAUUACUCAAGCUCGUGUUGGGACUGGGACUAGCACCUUAUAUUCUAGUGACUAUGCCACUAAAUAUCUCAAUUACUAGCCAGGAUAUUGAUAAACUGCAAAUUAAUGGCAUUUGUUUCUUCCUGUUUUUUUGUGAGAUUCAUCAGAAAUGCAUAUUUAUAUUAGAAGCUGGGCUUUAAUCAAUAGCUAUCAGCAAUUCAAGCAUGUUAGACAUAUUUUUAGGAAAUUAACACCUACAUAAAGUACUGUCUUGGGCAGGCAGAAGACAGAAAGCAGAGCAGACAGCUCUCCAGCCUCCCUGGAGUUCAUGGUCUCCAAGGCAGGAAACAUGCACUGGGGAAUCCCUGCUAAUACAGGCCCACUGUGGGGAGCCCUGUUUGAGGCACACAGUCCUCUGGAGCAGGGACAGCAGUCCAUUCACCAGGAUUUGGAAGGUGGAUUUGAAGGAGUGGGUUUAGGGAAGAUGACUCAGGGAUUUCUGGUCAGAGGCAGGUCAUGAAAGACAGGCAUAAUCGCACAUGAUGUAUGUAGCCACUGGGAAAUGGAAGGUGUGUGUGGGGUGAGAAAUGCAGGCAGAGGGAAGAGCUUAGCAGAGACAGCUACUGGCUGCACUCCAGUGUGGAGAGGCUUGUCAGGAUGAGAUGGACAUGCAGAAAAAUAAACAUUGUACUGGGGGCAGGCAGAAGACAAGGCCCCAAAAGGAAACCAGAAGUAAUGAGUGAGGUAGGGAGCAAGGGGUCAGGCUGAGAGGUCUGUGCUUUACGAGGUGGGUGGGGAGGGAAGCUGGGGAGGGUGAGAUGAGGUCAGAGCAGGGCAACUGGGCAUAUCAGUGUUUUAGAAACAUCAAAGAAGCAAAACCACUGAUUUACCAAGAAACUCUGACCAUUGUUAAAGGCAGUGCCCCCCUACCCUAGCAGUAUUGUUUAUGUCUAGUAAGAUUAUUCGAGAGCAUGACUGCUUAAUUUUUUUUUUUUUUUUUUUUUUUGGAAAUCCAAAAUACAACUCAUCCACUGAAAUACCUGGCUUAGUGUCAAAUGUUUUAUUCUGCAAUGGUGGCUUAAUUCAGAUGGGUUGGUUACAUGCUACCUGCUAUUAAGAUGGCCUCAUGCAAACUGUCAUUCUUUGAAACUGCUGGUAUGUGGAGAUUGCACAACUUCAUGUACAAAUGCACAUGGAACCAGAGAAACCACUUAGCAGUUACACUGGUACAACAACACCAUACAAAUGAAUUACAAAGCAGCCCUCAAGAGAUGUUACACACGUGAUAACAAGUAGUCACUGCUGGCCUGUCAUUUUAGCAAUUUAUAGUUUGCUUGAUAUAUGUGUCUGUGUGUAUGAAUCUAAAGAAUGAGAAAAAAUUAAUUGUGUAGUGAUUCAUUUAUCAGGAGUCAUACUUAAUAAAAUGGAACAAAAACAUCACAAACAGGUAAAGCAUGGAGAUUCUGUUGGGUUAAUGGUCUUUGUAAUUGCAAAGGAAAAUGAUGUUACUAUCACUUUUGGGUGUUCAAUUCAGCUUAUCUGAAGGGGCUGGAAAAAGAUCAAGUAAUUACUAACCAUACUUGACUUUGAAAUGCGUUCACACACCUAUCCAGUUGAUGUGGGGAGAAGAGAGUGUAGGAGGUACCGUGCUUCCUGUCUAGGGAGAUAAAGUCUCCCCUUUCAUUCUAUUAGCUAUGGGAAUACCAGAUAAUUAUGUUUUUUAAAUACUACAAGUAUAAUAUUGUUUGUUUGUUUUUGAGACAGGGUCUC